GACUGAGUCCUGUGAUGGCCUGGGAGUGACCCGACAGGGAUGACGGAGUCCUGUGAUGGCCUGGGAGUGACCCGACAGGGAUGACGGAGUCCUGUGAUGGCCUGGGAGUGACCCGACAGGGAUGACGGAGUCCUGUGAUGGCCUGCCUGGGAGUGACCCGACAGGGAUGACUGAGUCCUGUGAUGGCCUGGGAGUGACCCGACAGGGAUGACGGAGUCCUGUGAUGGCCUGGGAGUGACCCGACAGGGAUGACGGAGUCCUGUGAUGGCCUGGGAGUGACCCGACAGGGAUGAUGGAGUCCUGUGAUGGCCUGGGAGUGACCCGACAGGGAUGACGGGUCUGUGUGAAGGCCGUGAACAUGAAGGGGAGGUAGUAGGAAUUCUAAUGGUCCUGACUGACUGUAGGGGACAAGACAGGAGCAGGAUAGGUCCUGACUGACUGGGUGUAGAUUGAGAGAGGGGUGUAGAGAGGGAGAGAGGGGUGUAGAGGGUGAGAGGGGGGUGUAGAGGGUGAGAGGGGUGCAGAGAGGGUAAGAAAGGGCUAGACCCUGCUGCCUGCGUGGCAGCGAUGACUCAUUCCAUUAAGAGAAGCUACUCCAGCAGGACACCGUCCUCUCCCCGCUCCCCAAAUAUAGACCGGCUAUUCUCUCCUCCGUAUGCAGCCACUUUGGGGGAUUGCCAUGCACCUACGAGACUCUCUCUCUCUGCUAGACAGGAUGGGAAUGUUUAAACAACCAUCAUAACAUGAAGCAAUUCUUCUAUGACGGCCAUAUUCAGCCGAUGUCACUAUUUGUCCCUACAGAAAGCUGAAGGGUACAUACAGUUUGUUACAAACCACAACACGAUGUCACAGCAGCCUGGUAUGUUCUCCGUGGACAAUCUAAUCUACACAGUGAGACGGGAGUGACUGGGCACAGCCUUCUUGUAUACUAACUAACUCAAUGCCAAGCACGCAUCCUUUCCUUCUACACUUAAACAGGUAGACUCAGCGAUAUGACGUAGAUGCAGAAAGUAAACAACGAGUCCAAUUUCCACAACAACUAAGAACCUUGAAGUGCGAGUCUCAACUUCUCAGGACGUUUUGGUCCCGUGGCUAACACGUUGUUAUAAUGUAUGAAGCAAACCAUUGAACAGAUUCUGUCUGACAAGUGUUUAGAGCGAAUUGGAGCUUUGCAAUUUUUUUGUUCAACUGCUGAUCGUGACUACGUCAUUUUGCGGAGUCAACCUUGAAAAGUCAACCUGCAUGGUGAAUUAGCACUUUGACAUGUUUCCCUUGUUAGGUGCUUCAAUGGCCCUUCUCUGUCUGGAAUGAUCCUAACAAUGACAAGAUGUCUAGCCACUUCAGUGCUCAGUUCUUCAGGAGCUCAGUGUGCCAUAAAGACAGACUAAACACACUGACAUUUUCUAAUUACAUAUCUAGGUUUUAGAGAUCAAGUGGGUCACCGGUUGUUUCUUUCGAAUGAAAGGAAUGUUUUUUUUUCCAGAGAAUCAGUGUUUCAUGAAAAACACUGGAAUAAUAAAUGAGAAGAAAAAAAACGCUUUAGAAACCAUAACUAAAUGUGACUGGUGACAUACUACUGAGGAGGUCUGUCGACGCGCUACUGACGAGGUCUGUCGACGCGCUACUGACGAGGUCUGUCGACGCGCUACUGACGAGGUCUGUCGACGCGCUACUGACGAGGUCUGUCGACGCGCUACUGACGAGGUCUGUCGACGCGCUACUGACGAGGUCUGACGACAAUUCUGACGAGGUCUGUCGACACACUACUGGGGAGGUCUGUCACACUACUGGGGAAGUCUGUCGACACACUACUGAGGAGGUCUGUCAACACUGGCCGGGGUUAGACAGAGAAAACAACAAAGUACUUUUGAGAUUCACCCCAUGUGUUGAUCAUUCAGUCUAGUCAGAGGUCAGGUGUCAGGUGAACGAGCGUGAGCUGAUCAGGUGUACCUGUACUGUUGCCGUUCACAACCCUUUGUGUUAUGAUGAAAUGUACAUAGAAAAAGACUACCAACGUAAAUAAAAGACACUUG
ensembl:lncRNA